GGGGGCGAAUGGGUUCGACGGGGACUGUAGGACAGGGUUGCAGGCAGGGUGGCAACCUAAACAGCCAUCCAAAACACUUCCCGAAAGGGAACUCGCUCUCGCUGCUUAAUUAACGGCAGCGGCUCUCCCAUGGCUUAGCCCCUGGGCUGUGGGAAGGGCUUAGAGACAGGGGUGUAGGCUAUGGCUGGUGCAGGGACAGCCUUAGCCGAAGUUUAGCCCUGCUCGCCCUAUGGGGUUUGCCAGUGGACACCCAUAGGGUCAGAAGAAAACACUGGCUAAGCCUGUAGAGGCUCUGGGUGCCGAAGGUCCUCGGACGCGGGUUCGAUUCCCGCCGCCUCCACCA
rnacentral:tmRNA from 2 species